rnacentral:rRNA from 1 species
UACGGGGGGAGCAAGCGUUGUUCGGAUUUACUGGGCGUAAAGGGCGCGUAGGCGGUUCGCUAAGUUGGAUGUGAAAACUCUGGGCUCAACCCAGAGCCUGCAUCCAAAACUGGCGGGCUAGAGUUCUGGAGGGGGUAGCGGAAUUCCUGGUGUAGCGGUGAAAUGCGCAGAUAUCAGGAGGAACACCAAUAGCGAAGGCAGCUCGCUGGGACGUUACUGACACUGAGGCGCGAAAGCGUGGGGAGCGAACAGG